UGCUCCUCCUCCAAGCUUCAUAACCCACAGCAGUCACACUGCACCGGUCUGUCUGGGACAAACUGCUGAGACUGAGAAAGCCCAAAGGACCUCAGAGAUGACGACUAGCUGUAUGAGGUCAACUCUGGAUCCUGAGCAUCGACUGAUGACACAGGAGAGCAAACACUAUCAGGGGGUGGAGAGCUCCGUGGACAGGAAGUUGGUGGUGAAAGAUGACAAAGACAAAGAUGAGGCUCAGGAGGAAGACCAGCUGAAGAAACCUCGCAGAAAGGACACGCCCAUCCUCAACUGUCCUCCACUGAUACCAGGUCAUGGUCCACACACACAUCAAUGCUGCUGCCAAUUGUCACAUUACACUUACUAUGAUUACAUUCAGGGCGUUUAUGUUAGAGCUGAGGCAUGAUUUAGAUUAGGUGGAGUCUCACCAUUAGAUGUCACUAAUUCCACGUUUGACCUUUUAGUUCUCCAAUGGAGAUUUGAGGCCAGCUUGGAGUUCAGUCCAUUUAAACAGAGCACCUGACCUGAAAUGAGUCCACCUAAUAUUAGUGUGUGUAUGACAGAUAUCAAGUAACAUAGUUACUGGAUCUUGUACUGUAGACAGUAGAUUUAAGAGAUGAGAUGCCUAUUCCCUCCCAAUUGUAAAAGAAAAAAGAGCAUUUUCUUUGGUUAAAGUAAUAGAUUAAGCCCUGAGAACUCGUUAUGGGCGAGUGCUGGACCCGAGAGCAGGCAGUCAAAGACAGAAUGCAGUAUGAACAGCAUAUUGAUAAAUGGGUUGACAGUUGAGAUGGACCAGUUAACAAAGCACAAGACAAACAAAUAACUAUGCACUUGAUAUCUUCAAGAGAGCCGUGAUAUUUACCAUAGUCUGUAAAAACAUGGCGACAAGUGACUGGAGUAGGUGCUUGAUGAAAUGAUUGGGAGCAGGUGUGCUCCCGCCACAGGUGAACUGAUUGCAUGCUGAGGAGUGCAGGGGGAAAAGGAGGAGACAUGGGUGGAGAAAAAGGCGGAGCAUGACAGGGAUAUUACAUUAAUUUAAAUCAGGGCUCACUUCCUGGCAUUUUUUGAGACGUUGAUUGGUGUAAAGGGAUUUUUUAGUUUUGUCCUCUUCCAACACGAUAAUAUAAAUGUUUAUGCUCUGGUCAAGUGUGGUCAUAAUGAUGUCAUGAAACAAGGGGACUGCCCGAUUUCAUUGCAAUAUAGUACACUGUUCUGGUGUCAGUGAAUGGGAUUCUCAAAUAAGAUGUCAGUGCGGGGAUGCGAGUUUGUUGGACUCUGUAAGAGUGCAAAACUGCACACUGGCUCCUGGUUGAAAGGGUUCCCCCCGCAGAACAAGCUGCUCUGAUGGUCUUUGCCUUCAGAGACACCAUGAUGACUUUCAGCAAGGCUUGGCCACCACCGUCCGGUCUGACGAGAUCUAUUGCCCACGCAGGGAGUGAGCUGUCAAGACUCAGUUCUCCAGUAGGAGGCCUACUAGUCACGUCAGUGUGUAUUAGGUGAUGUUGUCCAUGGGAGGAGUUACGAGACUUCUUCAACACUCAAGCAAUGUUUACUUUAUUCUUACUUUAUAGAACUGACAGCCCGUCUGUUCACUGAUGUCCUGAGUGUCAUCUCUGAGCAUAGAGAGUACAGCUCUGUACAGCUGACAAAGCCCCUGAUAUAAAUAUGAAAGGCUCAUUCUGGGAUCAUCAAAAACAACAAUUCAAAGUAUCAUUGUGCAGAUUUUUACCAGACGUGUGCAACAUGUAGCAUCAGGAAAGCUGAAAGUUUUAUAACACUGUUGCACUCAUCUUGUUUACAUGAAGCCUCUCCACCCAAAUAUCACAGUGA